rnacentral:rRNA from 1 species
UACGUAGGGCGCGAGCGUUGUCCGGAUUUAUUGGGCGUAAAGAGCUCGUAGGCGGCUUGUCGCGUCGACUGUGAAAACCCGCGGCUUAACUGCGGGACUGCAGUCGAUACGGGCAGGCUAGAGUUCGGUAGGGGAGACUGGAAUUCCUGGUGUAGCGGUGAAAUGCGCAGAUAUCAGGAGGAACACCGGUGGCGAAGGCGGGUCUCUGGGCCGACACUGACGCUGAGGAGCGAAAGCGUGGGGAGCGAACAGG